CAAAGUGAGACCUUACCUCAAAUAAAUAAAUAAAUAAAUAAAAUUUAAAACUCCAUCCUCCAAGAAAGAAGUCAGGUCGGGGAAGCCUGAUUCCUAGCAGAAUCCCACAGGGAAGGAGAAAGACAAGCAAAGGGUUUCUUACUAAGCAGCGCUGCAAUUGGCUACAGGGAACAUUGCGUUUUUCAGGCCCCAGUCCAGUCGUGGGUUCUGCGACUGUGCUCUGGGCACAACCCUGCAACCCUCCUGAAAGGCCAAGUGAGAAGAGACUGGAGAAGCUGAAUCCUGGUGACUCUUUCUCAGGGGUGUUGUCAGGGAAUGUGCUAUGCACAGAUCCAAGGAGGAACUGUGCUUGCUACUCUGUUAUGGGACACAGCUGUUAUAUGCCCGGUCCAUGGUUGGCACUCUGUUCUGCAAAGUCAAGGUGGGAACCAUGGCAAGGGCAUUUCACAAGGCUCUCUAUCUGUUUUGCCCUGCUGCAAACAGAACAGAUUCCUGGGCCCACCCAGCCCUUUGAAAGCCAGGUAAAAUUGCUAGGAUAAGGGGUUUUCAAGCCCAGGCCUUCAGCAAAGCAAAGUCUUCUCCAAGAUGCUUUCAGAUCCCUGGAGGGCUUACAUUGUCAUGGUUCUCUCUGCUGAGAUGCUGCCUCCUUAAAAGUGCACAUAGCUUUGCUGAAGAUGGGAAACUUUCCUGAUUUCCGUGAGAAAAAAAGAAACUAAACAGCUAGCAUGAGACGCACAUAUCAUGAUUCUUGGCUAUGCAAACCUGAGGCUGAUGCAUCCUCCAGCAGCUGACCACGGACAUGUGCAGCAUCACAGUGACAGAUGGCAUUUCAACCACUUGGUUUACACCUUCCUCCACUGUCACCACCAUUCUGACAGAAAUGAGUUCCAUUUGCUCCAUUUUACAUAAGGGCAAAAGGCAGCAUUGACUCACCAAGUUUACACAGUUAGGGAAAAGAGCAACCAGGUCAGGAUCAGAUACAACAAAGAAGUGAUUGCAGAUGUUAAAUGGAACAUAGCUCUGGUCGUUUGAUAAAUAUUCAGUAAUUUCUUCAGUUUGUUAAGAAAAAUUAUCCAAAAUUUACAAUUACAGAGGAAGCAAAAUUUUACCUGUACCCUAUUUUUUUUUUUCUGGGGCUAAGAAUUAAAUUGACUUAAGACAGACAUAAGACAGAUCAACAGCAGAAGAACAAAUUUACUUAAUACAAGUUUUACAUGGCAGGAGAGACUACAUAAGGAAAUGCAGACCCAAAGGCACAGUUAGAUUGAACACUUACAUACAGAAUUAAAGAGUCAUGAAUUGUGAAAAUGUCACAAGGCCAAGAAGCUUGGGCUGAGUGGUUAAUUGAGUGAAAAAGUGGCUCGGAAGGUAUCUCCGCCCUAUGAAGGCCUUGAUGGGGAGCAACUCAGGCCUUGAAGGUAAAUGUCCUGUCCCACAGGUGCCAUGAGCUCCGGGAAGUAGAGACGUGAUCAGACUCCCCUGCUACAGCCUUGUACUUGUCACCGAAGGGAGAUGUGCAGGUGCAAGCCCGACCAAGGGACACCUCCGUGGCCAUGACAGCUUUUCUUCUUAAAAGAAAAAACCGGACCGUGGGUUCAGAAAUCCAAAUCCAUUUGUUUAUACUCGAUUCAUACCAAAGACUACAAAAUAUACUUGUUAAU
rnacentral:lncRNA from 1 species